GUGCCAGCAGCCGCGGUAAAACGUAGGGGGCGAGCGUUGUCCGGAAUUAUUGGGCGUAAAGCGCGUGUAGGCGGAAGCUUAAGUCAGGUGUGAAAACUCGGGGCUCAACCCCGAGCCUGCAUCUGAAACUGGGUUUCUUGAGGACGGGAGAGGAAAGUGGAAUUCCUAGUGUAGCGGUGAAAUGCGUAGAUAUUAGGAGGAACACCAGUGGCGAAGGCGACUUUCUGGACCGUAACUGACGCUGAGACGCGAAAGCGUGGGGAGCAAACAGGAUUAGAUACCCUGGUAGUCCACGCCGUAAACGAUGGGUACUAGGUGUAGGAGGUAUCGACCCCUUCUGUGCCGCAGCUAACGCAUUAAGUACCCCGCCUGGGGAGUACGGCCGCAAGGUUGAAACUCAAAUGAAUUGACGG
rnacentral:rRNA from 1 species